GCCGGCAGGAUAGCUCAGUCGGUAGAGCAUGAGACUCUUAAACUCAAGGUUAUGGGUUCAAGUCCCACAUCCGGCA